rnacentral:rRNA from 1 species
CGGGUGAGUAACACGUGGGUAACCUGCCCAUCAGAAGGGGAUAACACUUGGAAACAGGUGCUAAUACCGUAUAACAAUCGAAACCGCAUGGUUUUGAUUUGAAAGGCGCUUUCGGGUGUCGCUGAUGGAUGGACCCGCGGUGCAUUAGCUAGUUGGUGAGGUAACGGCUCACCAAGGCGACGAUGCAUAGCCGACCUGAGAGGGUGAUCGGCCACAUUGGGACUGAGACACGGCCCAAACUCCUACGGGAGGCAGCAGUAGGGAAUCUUCGGCAAUGGACGAAAGUCUGACCGAGCAACGCCGCGUGAGUGAAGAAGGUUUUCGGAUCGUAAAACUCUGUUGUUAGAGAAGAACAAGGAUGAGAGUAACUGUUCAUCCCUUGACGGUAUCUAACCAGAAAGCCACGGCUAACUACGUGCCAGCAGCCGCGGUAAUACGUAGGUGGCAAGCGUUGUCCGGAUUUAUUGGGCGUAAAGCGAGCGCAGGCGGUUUCUUAAGUCUGAUGUGAAAGCCCYCGGCUCAACCGGGGAGGGUCAUUGGAAACUGGGAGACUUGAGUGCAGAAGAGGAGAGUGGAAUUCCAUGUGUAGCGGUGAAAUGCGUAGAUAUAUGGAGGAACACCAGUGGCGAAGGCGGCUCUCUGGUCUGUAACUGACGCUGAGGCUCGAAAGCGUGGGGAGCAAACAGGAUUAGAUACCCUGGUAGUCCACGCCGUAAACGAUGAGUGCUAAGUGUUGGAGGGUUUCCGCCCUUCAGUGCUGCAGCUAACGCAUUAAGCACUCCGCCUGGGGAGUACGACCGCAAGGUUGAAACUCAAAGGAAUUGACGGGGGCCCGCACAAGCGGUGGAGCAUGUGGUUUAAUUCGAAGCAACGCGAAGAACCUUACCAGGUCUUGACAUCCUUUGACCACUCUAGAGAUAGAGCUUCCCCUUCGGGGGCAAAGUGACAGGUGGUGCAUGGUUGUCGUCAGCUCGUGUCGUGAGAUGUUGGGUUAAGUCCCGCAACGAGCGCAACCCUUAUUGUUAGUUGCCAUCAUUUAGUUGGGCACUCUAGCAAGACUGCCGGUGACAAACCGGAGGAAGGUGGGGAUGACGUCAAAUCAUCAUGCCCCUUAUGACCUGGGCUACACACGUGCUACAAUGGGAAGUACAACGAGUCGCAAAGUCGCGAGGCUAAGCUAAUCUCUUAAAGCUUCUCUCAGUUCGGAUUGUAGGCUGCAACUCGCCUACAUGAAGCCGGAAUCGCUAGUAAUCGCGGAUCAGCACGCCGCGGUGAAUACGUUCCCGGGCCUUGUACACACCGCCCGUCACACCACGAGAG